UACGUAGGGGGCAAGCGUUGUCCGGAUUUAUUGGGCGUAAAGAGCGUGUAGGCGGCCAUGCAGGUCCGUUGUGAAAACUCGAGGCUCAACCUCGAGACGCCGAUGGAAACCGCAUGGCUAGAGUCCGGAAGAGGAGAGUGGAAUUCCUGGUGUAGCGGUGAAAUGCGCAGAUAUCAGGAGGAACACCGGUGGCGAAGGCGGGUCUCUGGGCCGAUAUUGACGCUGAGGAGCGAAAGCGUGGGGAGCGAACAGG
rnacentral:rRNA from 1 species